rnacentral:rRNA from 1 species
GUGGGGAAUUUUGGACAAUGGGCGCAAGCCUGAUCCAGCAAUGCCGCGUGCAGGAAGAAGGCCUUCGGGUUGUAAACUGCUUUUGUACGGAACGAAACGGUCCGGGUUAAUACCCUGGGCUAAUGACGGUACCGUAAGAAUAAGCACCGGCUAACUACGUGCCAGCAGCCGCGGUAAUACGUAGGGUGCAAGCGUUAAUCGGAAUGACUGGGCGUAAAGCGUGCGCAGGCGGUUUUGUAAGACAGGCGUGAAAUCCCCGGGCUCAACCUGGGAAUUGCGCUUGUGACUGCAAGGCUGGAGUGCAGCAGAGGGGGAUGGAAUUCCGCGUGUAGCAGUGAAAUGCGUAGAUAUGCGGAGGAACACCGAUGGCGAAGGCAAUCCCCUGGGCCUGCACUGACGCUCAUGCACGAAGGCGUGGGGAGCAAACAGGAUUAGAUACCCUAGUAGUCC